CAAUCGAACCACUAAAUACAGAUUGUCCGAAGGCAACGACAUAUAUCCAAAUCAGCCGCGGACAAGCUCGAGUAUGCCAAUCGGACCACGGACAAGCUAAGCUCGAUCGAUACGCGGUGACCAAGCAUGCACACAGCUCGGUCGCUACAUAGCGACCGAGCCUGAGCCUAGCUCGGUUGCUGCGUAGCGACAGAGCAUCUGUCCCGCUCGGUCGCUACGUAGCGACUGAUCUUGAGCAAAGCUCGGCCGCUACGUAGCGACUGACCUCAAGCCAAGCUCGGUCGCUACAUAGCGACCGAGCUCUUCCGAUACUUAAGUAAUAUUAGCAUGGCACUUCGAAUUCGAUAUGAAAUUUUUUAGAUUAAAAAAAUUAGAUUAUAUAUUGAAAGAGUAGUAUGGGAUAAGAAAGGGGUAUUUAAAAUGAUAUCUUCCAUAUUCGGGCACAUCUCAACGUCACAAACUUUGUUUUCACACCGGAAGCUUAUUUACAAAAACAAAAAAAAAGACACUUUGGGAUUGCUGAAUUAUAGACAGAUAAAAAAAAAUGAUAUAUAAAGCAACGGAACCAUCAUAUUAUUUUUUUAACUCCUACAAAA